rnacentral:rRNA from 1 species
UACGUAGGGGGCAAGCGUUGUCCGGAUUUAUUGGGCGUAAAGAGCUCGUAGGCGGUUCCGUAAGUCGUGAAGUCAAAUCUCUGGGCUCAACCCAGAAUCGCUUCCGAUACUGCGGUGACUGGAGUCCGGUAGGGGAGUGUGGAAUUCCUGGUGUAGCGGUGAAAUGCGCAGAUAUCAGGAGGAACACCAACAGCGAAGGCAGCACGCUGGGCCGGUACUGACGCUGAGGAGCGAAAGCAUGGGGAGCGAACAGG